rnacentral:rRNA from 1 species
CCUACGGGAGGCAGCAGUGGGGAAUCUUGCGUAAUGGCCUAACGGCUGACGCAGCGACGCCGCGUGUGGGAUGAAGCUCUUCGGAGUGUAAACCACUGUUGCCCGGGACGAACAGCUCGAUUUCUCGAGCCUGACGGUACCGGGUGAGGAAGCACCGGCUAACUCCGUGCCAGCAGCCGCGGUAAUACGGGGGGUGCGAGCGUUGUCCGGAAUCACUGGGCGUAAAGGGCGCGUAGGUGGUUUGAUAAGGGUGUGGUGAAAGUCCGGGGCUCAACCCCGGAUCUGCCGUGCCGACUGUCAAACUCGAGGACUGUAGAGGCAGACGGAAUUCUGGGUGUAGCGGUGGAAUGCGUAGAGAUCCGGAGGAAGACCGGUGGCGAAGGCGGUCUGCUGGGCAGUUUCUGUCACUGAGGCGCGACAGCGUGGGGAGCAAACAGGAUUAGAUACCCUGGUAGUCCACGCCGUAAACGAUGGGUACUAGGUGCCUGGGGGAGCGACCCUCUGGGUGCCGGCGCUAACGCAGGAAGUACCCCGCCUGGGGAGUACGACCGCAAGGUUGAAACUCAAAGGAAUUGACGG